CCUACGGGUGGCAGCAGUCGAGAAUCAUUCACAAUGGAGGAAACCCUGAUGGUGCGACGCCGCGUGGGGGAAUGAAGGUCUUCGGAUUGUAAACCGCUGUUAUGUGGGAGCAAAUUAAAAAGAUAGUAUCACAAGAGGAGGAGAGGGCUAACUAGGUGCCAGCAGCCGCGGUAAUACAGAGGUCUCAAGCGUUGUUCGGAAUCACUGGGCGUAAAGUGUGCGUAGGCAGUUUUGUAAGUGGGGUGUGAAAGGCGCGGGCUCAACCCGCGGACGGCACAUGAUACUGUGAGACUAGUGUAAUGGAGGGGGAGGCGGAAUGCUCGGUGUAGCAGUGAAAUGCGUAGAGAUC
rnacentral:rRNA from 1 species